AUACGGAGGAUGCGAGCGUUAUCCGGAUUUAUUGGGUUUAAAGGGUGCGUAGGCUGUGCGUUAAGUCAGGGGUGAAAUGCCGUCGCUCAACGACGGAGCUGCCCUUGAUACUGGCGUGCUGGAGUACGGAUGCCGUUGGAGGAAUGAGUGGUGUAGCGGUGAAAUGCUUAGAUAUCACUCAGAACACCGAUUGCGAAGGCAUCUGACGAAUCCGUCACUGACGCGGAGGCACGAAAGCGGGGGGAUAGAACAGGAUUAGAUACCCUGGUAUUCCACGCCGUAAACGAUGAUGACUAACCGUCGGCGAUAGACAGCCGGUGGCCAAGCGAAAGCGAUAAGUCAUCCACCUGGGGAGUACUUCGGCAACGAUGAAACUCAAAGGAAUUGACGGGG
rnacentral:rRNA from 1 species